AGUAACACGUGGAUAACCUACCUAUAAGACUGGGAUAACUUCGGGAAACCGGAGCUAAUACCGGAAUAAUAUUUUGAACCGCAUGGUUCAAAAGUGAAAGACGGUCUUGCUGUCACUUAUAGAUGGAUCUGCGCUGCAUUAGCUAGUUGGUAAGGUAACGGCUUACCAAGGCAACGAUGCAUAGCCGACCUGAGAGGGUGAUCGGCCACACUGGAACUGAGACACGGUCCAG
rnacentral:rRNA from 1 species